GGGUCAGUAGGUUGGUCGUGCCACCGGUACGUACUGGUCUCACUGAUUCCUCCUUCCUGAAGAACCUUAAUGCCAUUAAUUUGGUGUUGCGGGGAAACAGGACUGUUACUUUGAAAAAAUUAGAGUGUUUAAAGCAAGCCAACGCUUGAAUACAUUAGCAUGGAAUAAUGAACUAGGACGAUCGAUCCUAUUUUGUUGGUUUCUAGGAUUGACGUA
rnacentral:rRNA from 1 species